UUGGAGGUGCACUCUCUCCAUGUUACCAACCACCUGCUGAAAACUUCGUUUGUGCUAUUUCGCCACAUUGCAAAUCCGUUUUCAUCAAUUGAACUGAAGAAUGGACUCAAGCCAUCCAGGAUUCCAGUCCCAGAUGAUGCUGGUGGAGCAAAGUCAAGAGGUCUCAGUAAGGAAUGCUUUCUUUGCCUUCCCAUUCCAUCUCUGAUCAAGUGACCAUUUGAUAUGAUCCACUGAGAAAACCACCACAUUCUUGUAAACUAACAGUAUCA
rnacentral:lncRNA from 1 species